rnacentral:rRNA from 1 species
UACGGGGGGAGCAAGCGUUGUUCGGAUUUACUGGGCGUAAAGGGCGCGUAGGCGGCCACCGCAAGUCAAUUGUGAAAUCUCCGGGCUUAACUCAGAAAGGUCAACUGAUACUGCGGGGCUAGAGUGCGGAAGGGGCAACUGGAAUUCUCGGUGUAGCGGUGAAAUGCGUAGAUAUCGGGAGGAACACCGGUGGCGAAGGCGGCGACCUGGGUAGAUACUGACGCUGAGGCGCGAAAGCGUGGGGAGCAAACAGG